UUCAAUGUGAAUUUGUUUGUUCACUAAAUGCAAACAUUCUUGUUGAGAGAACUACAAAUUUCAAGUUCAGCCAACUAUCAUUUUGCAAUAUGAGAACUUUCAUUUUGUCACCAUUUCAAUUACAUUUAUAUGAAAUUAAAAGUGCACUCAGUAACUUUUGUCUUUGUGUCAUCUUGGACUUACACUGACACCUAGUGGUUUGGAUGCAGCAUAAUUUAAAAUCAAUAGUUUUCAGUUUCAGAUGCCAUUGUAGAAAUGUAGUAUUCACAGUCAGUCAUGAUUAAUUUAAUCAAUGAGUGAAAGUGUGAAAUAACAGGACGGUUACUGAGAUUAAGCGAGUAGUAUUCGGCUGGUCAUGUGAUUCUAACAUGGCAGCCCCCAUGUGCGGACCCUCUCCAUGUAGAAUAAAACAGCUUUUAUAAGGUUACUGAUAUGAUUGGAGUCUUCAUUUUAAUGUGAGUGCUCAUGAUUUCCUACUUAUAUUGCAAAAUUACAAUUCAUGUUUUUAGGAGUUCAACUUUUUUUAAUGAGGAAAAAAUUAUUGAGUGCACCUUUAAAUCAAACCGCCCCUAAUCUAGAUUGUGUACUGAAUGCAUAUGGACUCAUUAUCAAAAAGUUGGUGUUUUUAUUUUUUUUAAUAACAUGCCACUUUAGACUUCUUGAAUCUAGCAAGUCUUUUUUCUUUUUUUUUUAACUGAAACAGAUUCAAAAUCCUCAGCAAAUUAUGAACUCAAAAGCAGGCAAAAUCUUUGGAGAUUCUGUCAAGAAAGAAAACCUUUGUUGCUGCUUUAACAAGAAUUUCAAUUUUUAACAAAUCAGAAGUGAAAGACAUGCUUGAGCAAUGUCUCAGGUUAAAUUUGGAACGAGAUGCCAUAUACAGGCAUGUUAUCUAGGCUGUGUUCCAAAACAAAUGAUUGCUGUUAGGUUUGGGUACACCCUGGCAAUAGCACAGCAUAUGCAGGGACCUUUGGAAGCUGUCCAGUAACCAUUAUAAUACAAAUGUAAAUCCUCCCUAGUAAAGAGUGAUUGAACUCCCUCAACCUUUAGUGACCUAGUUUUUCAAAUUACACUGUGUGCAUUUAAGACUGUUGAAUCUUACAUUCUUCUAUCAGUUACCAAAGAAAAGCCUAAUUUGAAUACUUUUACAGUUAUUUGUAAUUACUGGUUAAGGAUUUCUUUAAGACAUAUGAAGAGCAAUGUCUUGCCAAUGACAAUUUGAGAGCAGAGUUUAAUAAUACUUAGGGUUAGGACAUUUGACAUCAAUUGCAAUGAUUUCUCCAAUUUCCAGGUUUUCCCCAUUAGUGUUGGAACCCUGCAACAUUGCAUUUGUGUUGUUGGUUCAGAAGGACAACUACAUUACAAUAAUGUUGAUGCACUGAAAGAGCACCUGCGGGUAGCACAUCAUUACAGGCAUUAUUCAAAAGCAUUAGACAGACAACAGACAUCAUAAAAACCAAGUUUAUUUUUUGAAAUUUGUCCAAGACACUGGAGGAAUGCAUUGCCAGUGUUUAGAGAAAGAAUCCUGUUACAGUUACCUGUGUAUGUUUUGAGGUAUAGUUUACCAUUAAAGCCACUUUUAAAUAACAAGAUGGGAGGAAAUCUCCUUAAAAGCAGUAAAGAGAAGAAAAAAAAAAAG